GAUGAAGAACGCAGCGAAAUGCGAUACGUAAUGUGAAUUGCAGAUCUCUCAGUGAACCAACGAAUUUUUGAACGCACAUUGCGCCCCCUGGUAUUCCGGGGGGCAUGCCUGUCCGAGCGUCAUUGCUGCCCUCAAGCACGGCUUGUGUGUUGGGCCUCCGUCCUCCUCCCGGGGGACGGGCCCGAAAGGCAGCGGCGGCACCGCGUCCGGUCCUCGAGCGUAUGGGGCUUCGUCACCCGCUCUUGUAGGCCCGGCCGGCGCUUGCCGACACAUCAAUCUUUUUUCCAGGUUGACCUCGGAUCAGGUAGGGAUACCCGCUGAACUUAAGCAUAUCAAUAAGCGGAGGA
rnacentral:misc_RNA from 1 species